CAGCAGCAAGCACCUCCCUGGCUUCCCUUGCGCAGGGGGCUUUCUUCUCCAUGGGCGCUGGCCAAGAUCACCCCAUGGCGCUUGGCUCCCUGGAACACAGCAGCACGCCAGCGCAGGGCCUUCCCAUGGCUGCGAGCUCCUUCUCCCGGCGAGCGGCUGCAGCAGGGGGUCGUCUCCUCCAUGGCGCGGACGAACUACCUCCCUGCAGGCAAGCAGCAGCCCCCUCAGCUCCUUCUAUGGCGCCCAGUCUGCAUGCACGACCGAGAUCCAUCAGUUCCUAUGUUCCCCAUGGCCGAGCUCGCCCCAUGGACUUGGCUCCUUGGUUCUUCUUUCACGUACGCGCCCUCUCCAACCUGCAGCACGUCCCCUGCUCCACGGCCAGCAGGAAGCCAGCGCCCCUCUGCAGCUCGGCUUCUCCUCUCCCAUGGCCGAGGCCGAGCUUCCCUGGUGCAGGCGCCCCCUUUUCUUCCACCUCUGGCCGGUCUUUUCUGCGCAGCAAGCCGCGCGCAGCAGCAGCAUUGUUCUUCGCCUUGCGUCGUCGUCGAGCUUCGCCACUCUCCUCCCCAUGACCCGCAGCCCUCGCACCCUCUACCCUCCCCAAAAACAGCAAGCCCCCAGCAGCCCCGGAUUCCCUCCGUGUCGCUUGCAUGCCACCCGCUCGAUGUAUUGCGCAGCCACAUUGUCGCUGCUCGCUGCCCGUCAACGUGCAGCCCUUCUGUUUUCUCCAUUGGCACAGCAGCCCCGUCGUCUCCGCGCGCUGCCGGCUCGCUGUUUUGUGGAGCCAAUGGACAGCACGCCGUGAUGCCUGCCGUGUGUUCGCUGUUUUUGCGCAGCCCCAAACAUCGACGUCGUUCACCCCGGUGAGACCGCGACGCUCCUUGUUCGAUUCCGCAUCGACAUUAUUUUCCUAUGAUUAAUUAUGUAUGUGUGCUGCUUUGUUUUAUUUUUGAGGAGGAGAGAACCCCGUGUUUUGCGUGGAGAAGGCAAGCCGCUCGACGCUCGUCGAUGUCGUAGCGAUGCACAAAUCGGAAUCACCGUCGUUCUUGCAAACACCGAUUGGGUUUGUUUAUGGUGAGCCAUGUCGCUCUCGAUUGACUUGAUUAAUAAAUUAUAUAGAUGUGGUUGAAAUGUUUUGGCGGUAGGUCGUAAUAUGGUCGUGCUCGUGAUUUCGAGUUAGAGAUUGGUGGUCGUCGAUUCGUAUAAAUUGGUCGAUGUGGUGCGUGUUUAAAAAUUGCAUUGGUAUGGAUUGAAGUUUGUGGCGAAAGAAAAAGGAAGUAGAAAAGAACUCGGAUGUUUUUACGUUUCGAUAGGAAGAUGUGCGAUGUGUUGUUUGAUGCGAAGGAUAGGUUUUACUAGUUUAAACGGUUAGUCGGCAGACUCGAACAGUAAAGCUAAAAUUGAUUAUGCGAUUAAGAUGAGGUGACGACAUGCCGUAGUAGUUGUUGCCUUCUCUAUGUUUUCGAGUCGGAUAAAUACCAUAGGCAAUUAAUUGUUGAUACCCAAAGAUUGUUAGAAACAAGUAAUCGUGCUCUACCUAUCGCGUCAAAGGAAAUAUGGUGUGUUGAUUAAUUAGGAGCUAAGGGACCUAAUAUAGAAAAGUAGUUAAGAAAACUAAUCGAAUUGCUUUUAGCUAUAUUUUAAGUUAAGAUGUCUAAAAUGGUGAAACUAGUUUUGUUGGUCUCAUGGUGUUAUGAUUGAGAAAAAUAUGAACUUGUGUAUGAAUUACUAUUUUUUUCAUGCUGUGUUAAGCCAACUCUUGUUAAAUAAAGGAAUUCAAUUGCGUUAAGUAAUUGUUAUAUGUUAAGUAAUUGUUAUAUGUAGGUGUUUCCAGUGCUUCAAGUGGUUGCAAGUUAAUUAGUAGACUCUCUAUGUGAUGCUAGAUGUCUAGGUAGACUUUCGUGAAUUGUGGUGCUCGGACCGUCAAGAUGAAGGUUAAGUCGGUCGAUGCCGAUUAAGUAGUUAAAAUGAUUAAUGAAACAAUCAUGGGGUUAAAACUAGAAACUAGUGUUCUUGCACCCGUUUGGGAUGUUAUAGCUAAAUUGCGCAUGGUUAUGGUCGCGGAUGAAAAGUAGUAGCGCUCAUGUGAUGUCUAAUUUAAAACGCAAAUUGUUGGGUGAUUAUCGUGAAGAAUGCGUUGUUAAUUGGUUGUAGUAAUUUUAGUGCACUAAAUGAUUUGGAUAAAAUUUGUAAGCCUACUUGCUAGUCCUCAUGUAAUAAAUUUAACUCUAAGAAAUGGUAAAGUGCUAGAAUGAUUAAAGUCUCUAGAAUACGGCAAUUCUUGAAUUACAUAGAAGCUGAAAUCUAUUGAUUGCUGUUUUGGGCUGCACGCAUUGUUUUUGUUGUGCUGUUUGUUUGAUAAACCAAAUCAUGUUUUCUGUAGAAAAGUCAUAUAUAAAAGUUGUAGAUAACUUUAUUAUCUUGCUGGUGUUAAAAUUUGACAGUUAUAGGUCUGAUAGUUUAGGAGUUGUGCUUUUUACAAAUUCAGUAACUGAAUCUGUCCAAAUUCUGUACAGAUUUCAGAAGCUGCAUUGUUUGCUCAAUUUAAUGUUGCAAUCUGUUCAUGGUCAUUAUAAGAAAGUUGUAGAUGCUUUUCUGAUCUUGCUUGUGUUAAAAUUUCAUAACUAAAGGCCUGACGGUUUAAGAGUUAUGAAAUUUACAAACUGAUCGCUGUGUUCUGUCCUCUGUCAGAACAGAUUUCGAAAACUGUAAUAUUUGAUUUGAUUAAAACUGGAAUCACUUCUUGGUGAUUAUAAAAGUUAUGUAGGGCUUUUUCUAAGCUUUCCAAAAAGUCUUCGAUCACUAUUUUUGGUGAUCUGAAGUUUAAGUUAUGAAUGUUUCAAAUGUGAAGACUGAAUCUGUCCAAUUCUGGACAGCACAGCCUUCAUCGCGUAUUCUACCCUUGAUACAUAUUAAACCAGCCAGAGAUGUUUAUAAAUAAUUUGUAGAACAUUUAAUUAGCUUUCCAGAAAGUCUAAAAUCACUUUGUUUGGAUGUUUGAAUCUGUAGUUGUGAAUUUUUGAAGUUGCAAGUCUGAAUCUGUCCAAAUCUGGACAGAACUGUUGUGUUAGCAGUGUUUGACCUUGCUAAGUGCUGAAUCCUGUGGAGGUAAAAAUACCAAAGUUGUAGAGAACUUUCUAAGCUUUCCAGAAAGUCCUAGUUUCCUAGUUUUGGAUUAAUAUUUGAAAAGUUAUGAUUAAAACAAGUAACGGCUGUAUUGCUGUCCAAAAAUCUGCAAGUGAGCAAAUGAAUGUUUAGUUCACCCUAUUUGCUAAAAAUGUUUGGUUGACACUUAAGUAAUGUAGACUUACCAUGACUAAGCUUAAUAAUGCACGUGUGUCAUAUUUUGUAUGUUUCUUGCUCUAGUUGAUUAUGAUAUUGGAGUGCCGUAGUUAUUAAUGUCUAUGUCGUAUUCAAACUUACGUUGUCUUGGUUGGACUUGUGUGGUCGGUGAUGCUUUUGUGUGAUAAAUAGAAGAACUAAGGAAAAGCCAUAGCAAGUUAAAUAAAUGUGUAUACUUGUGAUGUCAUAGUUGUGUUGUGUAAAUAUACAAAAUGUGGUCGUCUUGUUAAUGGUGUUAAUGAUGAACGCCGAUAACAUACGAAUAGCUAGCGCUUGCGUAUAGUCGUUGCGAUGUCUUACAAUUAAAUGUUAGUUUGCUACCAUGUAUUUAUAUAGCUUGUGAUAUUUUUCAUUGUAUUCAUACAUAUGCAUCCUGCAUCUCAUUUAGGACCGAGAGGUGACGAUCGUGCAAGUGAUGUGGUGCCAACCACAAGCUGCAGUUGGUGGACGUACGGAAGGAUGGUGGACUUAAUCAGUGGAUGCUCGCCAAGCGAGUACCUCCCCCAGCAAACACUAUCUAAGUGUCAAACUAAAGGCAAGCCCCGGUUUUAUGCAUAACCGUUAUAUAUGCUAUUUUACUACACUUAGUGAUUGUAGGCUUGUAUUGUGCACUUAAGUGUAGGAGUUGGUUGAAACCCUAGUUGCAUGAACUCAGGAAUCCUUUUUGUGAUGGAUACUAGUAUGCUAGGUCGAGUAGCUGCUUUAUUAAUUAGGAUCUCGGUAGAAGUCGAGUGAUUUUUCUAGCACUCGCGCGAGGUCAGGAAAUUGAUUGUAUCCACUUUCUUCUCAUAAUGAUGCUGGUUGUGGACAACAAUCCAUGGGGAUUGGUUGUCCACGGGAUGAAAAUUUGAAUAAGGAUUAAGGUGUGGUACCGUGAGUCAAGCGUUUGAACGUACUAAGCACAUGCCGAGAAAUAUGGUAAAUCGGUAAGCCUAGUACCUGAGUGAACCUGGCAGUGGACAUAUCCCCUCACGCGACCUGAGACGUGGUCUCCCAUUCCGGUUAUGGUGGGUACAAGUGCGGUCACUGCACGACGGCAGUCGGGGUCAGUGAGGCAUUGUACGCCAAGGCGGUGAGCCCUGAUCUGCUGACGGGGAAUCGAUGGGGACGGUUGAUGUGUGUGGGGACGGAGUGCCCCUACAUGUCGUGUGUUUAGGUUUACCUUGCAAGGUUUAAAAACUCGAUUCGAAUCGUCUGCUUCUCGCAGCUAAUGAGACUGCUUGAUCCAUGCUGCUACAUUGAGUAAUAAGUGGAAAUGAGGUGACUGGCAAAAGAUGUUGUUUGAUAAAAAUGUUUGAUACCAUGUAUGAAUAGCUAGGUACACAUCUAGUUAAAAGGGAUCAUACUAAAACUUGAAAAGCUAAAAUAUGAUUUUAGACUCAGCUAGUGCUUUUGGCAAACCAAACCCCUCAGCCAAACAGCUGCAUGUCUAGAGGUAGAGGAGUAGACUCCUCACACCGGGUAAGUCUAGCUGAGUAUUAGUAUACUCAGCCUUGCUUGUGGCACAAUUUUUGCAGGUACCUCCUUGCUUUGGUUGUUGGUGUGACUUGACCUUCAUCCCUGCCACCGGGAUAGACGGUCGAGUGGGUUACUGCUUCCGCAGGAGAGGACCAGGAGGAGUAGCGUGGCCAGGCUUCGCCAUGUUACUCGGUUUUCUCCGUUAGUUAUCUCCGCUGCAUUAAAAUUUAUGAUUAUUAUUUCUGAAACUCCGAUAAUGUAAUCACUAAUGAUACUUAUUAAAUUUGUGGUAUUAUGCUUUAUUGUAUUUCUCUGUGCCUCACCUUCGAGUGAGCUAGUGGUAUUUGAUCCUGGUAAGUGGCUUUAUCGGACUAGAUCCGAGGGACUGACGGGUUAUUCCUGUUUAAGUGUGUUGCUGCCCUUAAGGGUGCGACUUGGGCACUUAAGCUGGAAUAAUUCGGGCGGUUCCGCCACAGCUGGUAUCGGAGCGAAUACCAGUACAGAGAAGUCAAUAAGUCAUGAUUACCAACUUUUCUAAAGUGAAACUUGCUAGAAACCAAUGUUGGAUAGAUCGUCAGGACGAUCAGAAUAGACCUAGGACGUGAAGCCUUAGGAAACAGAUGGGUAGCUAGGUGGCUAUAUUUAUAUAGGCCAUAAAGGCUACUACUAAUAUUAAUAAGGAUGCUAUAGAAAGCACCCGAAAAGUAGUUAGGUCUGAGAAGACGACUAGAAUGAGCAUGCAUCAUGAUUGUCGCAUAAUUGUCUCUUGUGCACUAAAAUGCUUCUCUCACCUUUAUUCCAAUAAUAAAAACUUGUGAAUAAUGUGUGUAUUGCCAUGAACUGCAAAAAAAAUGUCUUAUCCUGUGUGUCAUGAUAGUCUCGACUAGGUUGUGUUAUGUGCUUCUCUUGCCUUGCUAUCUAAGUGGUAUUGAAAUUGUUCAACCCUUUUUGCAAAAAAAAAUGUUGUUUGUUUGCUCAUGAAAAGACCCCCGCCCACACAACCUUGAGCUUAGCAAGUGAACCCUCUUUUUUUUUAAAAAAAAAUUUGCUUGUGUUGGCGUUUUCUAGCCCUUGUGUGUUGCACUAUUGAAAUUGCACCUGCACAACUUGUAGACCCCCAUAGCUUAACCGCUUGCCAAACCGAAACUUCCUUGUGCACGUGGUUUGGUAAAAAAAACAUCGUUUGGUGUCUAGUUGCGCAAACCAUGACCAAGCCAUGUUUCUUUCCGUAAAUCCUUGCUCCUAAAACUUCAUCGCAUUUCUGUUAAUCAUCCUGGCUGAUCCUGUUUGCCUACCUCUCCUUUUGCAUGGAUCUGGUGAUCUCUUUCCUUGUGAAUCAUGUUGUGGCUUUAUCAUCCGAAUCCCUGGACCCUUUAAUGAUUCUGCCCCGUUAUCAUGUUAUCUGCUAUAACCCGUUCUCAGGUAUCGGAUGUUGAUCUGCCUAAGUCUCUCAUUUCUGAUCAUUCUCAUACUCCUUCUCCGAGGAUCAUGACGUUGUUUUAUCAAAUUUUAUCCUUACACAGUAUAUCCAUUUAGUUCAAUGGAUGUUGCUGUUGUCUUUGGUUUCUGAUGUCUCUAAAAGCUCAUUAAUCAUGAUCUCUUGAGUGCUUCAUUCUCGUAUCUCAUCUCGUACUAAUCUCUGACCUGAUAAUCUCCGUAUUAAUCAUAAAAUAAUUCUCUGAGUUGAAGAAAGUUCUUAUGUGAUGCUCUUUUUCCAACAAUCUCUGCUUCAACUCUGAUCACAUUCUUAUUUUCUGGGCCAUACUCUCAUGGGCUCCAUCUAUUUAUGUCACGUGGAUUUAUCGUUGGUUGCGUCUGGUAAUGGUGUUAUGACUAAACGACUGAUGGUGCCGCGACGAAACCGAGAGCCUCUUGUGGGCGCGCACACAAGGUUGAGCUGCUCGGUACGCGCUGGUAUCGCGGUUAAUAGUUGUGAUCCAUUAUAAGACUACACCGAUGUGCUAUCUUUUGUGGACACUCUCAGAAUGAUCGCUGCAUUUUGUCUCGAUAUGUCGCGAUGUUCUAACCAAAUCUGUCUUCAGUAUCUUGUCAGAUACCCUCUCAUGAAUUUGCAUCUAUCUUCAGUCUGGGAGUUACAUGCUUCUCCGCCCUUAAAUAUCCUCAUUCGAAUCUCGGGACGAGAUUCUUUUUAAGGGGGGAAGGCUGUGACACCCCAGGUGUUAGUUUCGUGUUACGUCGCGAGAUUUGUCCUAAUCUCGGAUGCUCAGUAAAAAUUUUCUAUUUUUCGCUCGCCUAUGUCCCUAAUUAUCCAGAUUAUUCAUUCACGUUUCACCGAAUUCGGAGUUACUCAGUCUCACAGAAGGCCAAUUUUGGAGCCUGUUAAAACUUUUGUUUCUCGGCACGAAUGCGAACUCGGUAAUCAUUCUCAAUUUAUCAAACUCAUAUAAGGCUCAUUUAAUCAAACGCUCGACAGCUGCUAGUCGAGCUGUGUCCGACUCCGAUUUCUCGAUGUUCGAUCUAUGUCCAAAAAUUAAUCCGACUCCGUACUCUCACACGGAAUACUCAGUACGUCGUCCUCUAAUUAAUUCUUACUCGACUCAGCCAAAUAUCUUAUGUCCGAACCGAAUUCAAAACCCCGUAUCGACAGCGUUUUUAAAAUGUCACGAUUCGCCUUCUCCGACUAAAAAUCCGAAAGCCGAUCAAAUCUCAGGAUGAUUUAUUUUCGAAUCACGCGUAGGAAAUUAUGUUCGAGCGAAAUCAAAUUAGACUCUCGGUCGAAUUAAUCGCUCAAUCAUCCGUUCGCUGAAGCUCUAAUUCGCUCUGUUCUCUGUCGAAACGAAUUCCGCGGGAGCAUUUUUAUUCGGAAAAAUAAAUUAGCGCGACCCGAUUGGGUAUUUUGGGCCAAGCCCAUUCAGGCCCAAUAGGCCCACUAAGGAAACCCUAACCCUACCUCAUGGCUAUAAAUAGCAGCCCUCUCUCCUUGCACUUGGUUAUUUUGCACUCCCACCCCUCAAAAAUUUUCAGCCGCCACCAGCAGCCUUCUCUUCCUCCCCACGUCUCCUUCCUCCUCUUGCCGUGCAGCAGCAAGCACCUCCCUGGCUUCCCUUGCGCAGGGGGCUUUCUUCUCCAUGGGCGCUGGCCAAGAUCACCCCAUGGCGCUUGGCUCCCUGGAACACAGCAGCACGCCAGCGCAGGGCCUUCCCAUGGCUGCGAGCUCCUUCUCCCGGCGAGCGGCUGCAGCAGGGGGUCGUCUCCUCCAUGGCGCGGACGAACUACCUCCCUGCAGGCAAGCAGCAGCCCCCUCAGCUCCUUCUAUGGCGCCCAGUCUGCAUGCACGACCGAGAUCCAUCAGUUCCUAUGUUCCCCAUGGCCGAGCUCGCCCCAUGGACUUGGCUCCUUGGUUCUUCUUUCACGUACGCGCCCUCUCC
rnacentral:lncRNA from 1 species